rnacentral:rRNA from 1 species
AUUGAACGCUGGCGGCAUGCCUUACACAUGCAAGUCGAACGGCAGCGCGGGCUUCGGCCUGGCGGCGAGUGGCGGACGGGUGAGUAAUGCAUCGGAACGUGCCCAGGAGUGGGGGAUAACGUAGCGAAAGUUACGCUAAUAACGCAUACGUACUGAGGUAGAAAGCGGGGGAUCGAAAGACCUCGCGCUAAUGGAGCGGCCGAUGUCGGAUUAGGUAGUUGGGGGGGUAAAAGCUCACCAAGGCGACGAUCCGUAGCUGGCCUGGGAGGACGACCAGCCCCACUGGGACUGAGAAACGGCCCAGACUCCUACAGGAGGCAGCAGUGGGGAAUCUUGGACGAUGGGGGUAACCCUGAUCCAGCAAUGCCGCGUGUGGGAUGAAGGCCCUCGGGUUGUAAACCACUUUUGGCAGGAAAGAAAACGCCUGUGCUAAUACCACGGGCAGAUGACGGUACCUGCAGAAUAAGCACCGGCUAACUACGUGCCAGCCGCCGCGGUAACAC